AAAAGUUCUUCCAGAUCUUCCUCCCGUCAGCGCGAUAAAAUGGGGAUGAUAGGUCUUCACUCACAUGGUAACAAACACAGCAGCAAACCCCAUAAAACUGAACAUCAACUGCCUUCUGGAAGUUCUCAUCUGGCAAGCUAGUGCAGGUAUCUUGUGCAUGGGUCAAGAGAGUGAAGCUCAGAGCACAUUGCUUGGCACCCAGCAGGUGUUCAGGACAUGUUUUAGCUCAGCCCUCCUAGAAAACUAUGAAAUAAAAU
rnacentral:lncRNA from 1 species